UCUGCAAGAGUCCUGCUCGUUCAAGGCCUGCAUACAGGAAAGAAGCAGGGGAAAAGCGUUAGAAACAGCUUUUGUUCUACAGCAUUUUAAAAUAUAAUAGGUAUAUUGAAAAGUCUGAUUCAGUUACAAUCAGUGUAUGGAAUCACAAGAAGAUCCAUAAGAAACAAGGUGCUGGAUUUCUCCGUUGUGUUCGUCUUUUUCCAGUGCCAUCAACCACCUCAAAGACACUGGUUAUCAGAGGUUGGAUUUAUGCAAACUUGGGCCAAAGGACAGUUAGAAGACAGUAGGUGCCGUGCUGGGCAGUGAAUGAAUGAACCUUGCCCUGGGGUUAACACUCCAGUGGGAUGAACAGACAAACCCCACAAGCACUGCAUACGGAUGUUUAGCAGCAUCUCUGGCCUCUGCCCACCAGAUGCCAGGAGCACAACCACAGUUUUGUCAAGCAAAAGUGUCUCUGGACAUUACCAAAUGUCACCUGAGUACAAAAAUCACACCAGUUGAGAACCACUGCUCUCUGAUGAUUCACUAUGAUCUGUGUAAUAAUUCUCACACUAAUCUUUGCUAGAGACAAAAAGGACUUGCUAUAUAAUUUUAGUACCUUUCUACUGGUCAAAUUUUAAUCAUAUUUCAAAAUGAAUAGCAAAGAGGUUUAUAAUCAAGUUUUAUAAAAAUUCCAAAUGUAAUAAAGUUAUAUUUGUAACUUA
rnacentral:lncRNA from 10 species